UACGAAGGGGGGCUAGCGUUGCUCGGAAUCACUGGGCGUAAAGCGCACGUAGGCGGACUCUUAAGUCGGGUGGUGAAAUCCUGGAGCUCAACUCCAGAACUGCCUUCGAUACUGAGAGUCUCGAGUCCGAGAGAGGUGAGUGGAACUGCGAGUGUAGAGGUGAAAUGCGCAGAUAUCAGGAAGAACACCCGUGGCUAAGGCGGCUCUCUAGUACGGUACUGACGCUGAGAAGCGAAAGCAUGGGGAGCGAACAGG
rnacentral:rRNA from 1 species